UGUUAAUUGAGUCCUACUUGCAAUUUGUUUGUUUUAUUCACACAUUGUUGUCAAUAAUAUGAAAUUGUAUGCGACUGUCAAUAAGUGCGAGGUUAGCUAGCUAUAAAAAAAUGGUUUAAUCCACCAUUUUCUCCAUAAGAAAAUACCUGUACAUAGGCGGAUCCAGGGGGUGUCCUGCACCCCCACCCUUUCGUGGGAAAAAUUUGGUUGAUUAUAUAGCUAUAGGGAAUCACUGAAGCAUGACUGGAGCCCCUCUUUAGGUCAGUCAGCGGGCCCCCCUAAGCUUAUGAAAAGUUUUGGAUCCGCUACUGCUGUAGCCAGGAAUAUGCCAGUUGUUUUCCAUUUGUUCGAACGAUUUUAAUGAUUGUCAUUUGAAAAUAUAUUAACGACAGAAAUCACAAUUUUUGAAUAAUAACAGCAUUGAUAUUUACAUAUAUGGUCUCGCGUAAGGGAGUUUACAUGUCAUGCAGAUCAAAAUCUCAAUUUUUGACUUUAACAUUUAAAUAAAUGAUUUCCAUUCAACUUGUGUUAAACUUUCAAGUACUUGCACAUUAUAAAUAGACAAAUUACAACAAAAUAAACUUAUAAACAGUCGGAAAUUUGGAGAAACAA
rnacentral:lncRNA from 1 species